rnacentral:rRNA from 1 species
CAAAACUACGGUCUCAGUUCAGAUUGCAGGCUGCAACUCGCCUGCAUGAAGUUGGAAUUGCUAGUAAUCGCGAAUCAGAAUGUCGCGGUGAAUACGUUCCCGGGCCUUGUACACACCGCCCGUCACACCAUGAGAGUCGAUAACACCCGAAGCCUGUGAGCUAACCUUUUAGGAGGCAGCAGUCGAAGGUGGGGUUGAUGAUUGGGGUGAAGUCGUAACAAGGUAUC